rnacentral:tmRNA from 1 species
GGGCGUGACGGGUAUCGCCCGGGGAGCGGUCGCAAUCAUGUUCCCCGGGGACCCCGGUUCGACUCCGGGCACGUCCACCA